UCUAAAUAUCAGAAUUUAAAUCUAAAUGUAGAUUUGUGUAGAUUUGUGCAUAUAUAUAUAUAUAUUGCAUAAUAAAUAAGCAAGGCUAUGCACAAAACUUCCAGUGCAAAAUAUUGCUGAGUGAAAUAUUGCUGAGUGACUUUUCCUUUCUCUUGUGGAAAUUGUGAGAAUUGACUAGGAAUAUGUGAGAAGAUGAAGGUUUAGCCGAGUUCACAGGCCAUGAAUCUGCAGUGAAGAGCAAGCGAAAGCAAGAUCCUGGAAGAUACUGGCAAGUGGCCGGAUCACAGAAUCCAGGUAGAGUUUAUAAUUGUUUGUAGUUGAGAAAAUUGGACUAGAAUGAAGCCUUGUGGAAUCCAAGAAGAAUUCGUUAUUCUUUAGCUGCUUUCAUCUCCAACUGUGUUAGGCAUCCUCCUAAGAUGGUCCCCAAGAUGGCAGACCCCUGGAAUCAUCUGUACAAUUUCCUCUCUUUUCACAGGCUUUUAUGAGUUGAUUUUUCAGCGAACCUUCAAGGGGCUAAGGGGAACAUUACCCUUGGCCACUAUACUGCCAACAACCUAUGAGCCUGGAAGAGGAUCCCAAGUCUCAGAUGAAACCAGGACCUCAGCCAACACCUUGAUUUCAGCCUCAUGAGAUCCUAAGCAGAGGGUACAGUAAAGCCACAUAUGGUGCCUAACCAAAAAAACUAUGAGAUAAUAAAGAUGUGUUUUGGAAGCUGCUAAACUGGUGUUGAUUUGUUACAUAGCAAUUAAAAACUAAUAUACAAACACUA